rnacentral:rRNA from 1 species
GACGAACGCUGGCGGCGUGCCUAAUACAUGCAAGUCGAACGCAGUGGGGACGGGUGAGUGACACGUGGGUAACCUGCCAUCAACCGGGAUAACACUUGGAAACAGGUGCUAAACCGAUACUGAUGGAUGGACCCGCGGUGCAUUAGCUAGUGGGUGGGGUAACGGCUCACCAAGGCCACGAUGCAUAGCCGGCCUGAUAGGGUGAUCGGCCACACGGGGACUGAGACACGGCCCAGACGCCUACGGGAGGCAGCAGUAGGGAAUCUUCGGCAAUGGGCGAAAGUCUGACCGAGCAACGCCGCGGGAGUGAAGAAGGUUUUCGGAUCGUAAAACUCUGUUGUUAGAGAAGCGGUAUCUAACCAGAAAGCCACGGCUAACUACGUGCCAGCAGCCGCGGUAAUUC